UACGAAGGGGGCUAGCGUUGUUCGGAAUUACUGGGCGUAAAGCGCAUGUAGGCGGCGAUUCAAGUCGGGGGUGAAAUCCUGAGGCUCAACCUCAGAACUGCCUUCGAUACUGUAUUGCUAGAGUAUGGAAGAGGUUGGUGGAACUGCGAGUGUAGAGGUGAAAUUCGUAGAUAUUCGCAAGAACACCAGUGGCGAAGGCGGCCAACUGGUCCAUCACUGACGCUGAGAUGCGAAAGCGUGGGGAGCAAACAGG
rnacentral:rRNA from 1 species